CUUUUUUAAUUUUUAGUUCCAUGUGUUCAACCUUCUGCUGUCGAAUCUACACAGCCUAUCACAGCUACAUUUACGUGUUCAACGAAUGUUCCUUCUACAUCUGCUAUUUGUG
rnacentral:lncRNA from 1 species